UGUGCAUGUUAGACCCACCAUGCUUAAAAUUCUUCCCAUCGCUUCCUGCCUCUUUUGCUCAGGGCCCUACCACUCAGCUAAGGACUAAAACAUACUCAUGUCAGUGAGAGACCACCAUAACAGAGCUGUGUGGGGACUCAAAGGAGUACCCAGCCAAGGGUCCCAGAUUCAAGUUCCUCAAGAGAUGGGAGUACCUCCCAGAAGUUAAUUCCAUAGUGUCCUUGCCCUUCCUCUGUGCCGAGGCAGAUGCAGGCUGAUCCCUACAAGAAGGAAAGCUGGGCUCCUGGAGGCUGCCACCUUGUUGACUCUACUCCACGCAGUGAUCCCACUUCAUUCCAGAAGAGCGGUAAAUCCUUCUAUUUCCUGGUCUCAGGAGGAGUGGAAAGCUAGUAUUUCUAGAAGAUAAACAUUUUUCCUGGUCUAAAAACGGACAUUCAACUUCCAGCUUCUCCAAUAACUUCUUCCAGACACCCUGGCAAACUGUCUAGAAGUCUCUAGUCAUUACUCUACAGUUACAGUCACGUUGGGAUUCCAGCAGAGUCUCUGAAAAUAGAUCACCCCAUUUUGAGAUCGCCCCCUACUUGGGAGCAAUUACCCUAUGAUAGGAAUUGACACUAUCCCACAAAGCAGAAGCCAUUAUUCCAUGGAAACCAGAUUGCUCUCUCAACUGAUAAGGAUUUCCCUGGAGCCACCUUACAAAAACAAAACUGAUCACUGUGCUAGUUAGGGUUCUCUAGAGGAGAUACGCAAGGGAAUUUAUUAGGUAAUCGUACAGGAUCAGAGGCAGGAGAGUCCAAAGUGGCCAUCUAUGGGAUCAAAAGCAGGAGAAUGCAGCAGCUUCUCAGAAGAAGAUCGAUGCCACAGAAUAAGAGCUGUCAAGGAUGUAGCACAAGUCCAAGAUCAAAGGCCUAGAAGCUCACUGAAGGGUCACUAAAGUGAGUCUGUGCUGGAUAGCUGAAGAAACUAUUGACCUAGAGAUCUAUGUCUACAGGUAAUGGCAACAAAGUAUGUGCAGCAAUACUGAAGCUCUUCAAAAUGGAAGUACUUCCUUCUCCUCUUUUUAUUCUGUCCAGGCUACAAACCUAUUCGUUGGUACCACCAACAAUCAAGGUGAACCUUUCCCUCUCAAUUCUCUGGCUUACGUAUCAGUCAUCCACAGAACUGUGCUUUACCCAUCUGCUAGAUGUAUUUUAAUCCAUUCAACUUGACACGACAAGAUGAACAAUCACAAUCUAACCCUUGUAAUUUGACAGCCAGAGACAUCUCCUAAUUUCAUUUCUUUGAAAAAUUUCUGUAAUGAUUGUACUAGUUUCUACUCCCAUCGACAAUGCAGAAAGGUUGCUUUUU